CAGUCACAAGGAGUGGCACUAAAGUCCUAGCUCUCCAGGAUUUGACUGGAUACCCAUGUUCUCAAGAAGGUCAGUACUAAGGUGUAGAGUAUGGGUUCCGAUUCAGACACCAAUGGCUAAUUUCUGGCGAUCUCCAACAAGCCACAGAUCCUGUAUGAGCUUCAUUUACCUCAUCUGUAAAAUGACAUUUAGUUCCCACACUAUUUUGACAGAACAUUCGAGUUUCUUCCUCCAAACCUACCAACAAUCUGGAUGUCGAUGGAUGCGGU